UUGCUCUUCAACGAGGAAUGCCUAGUAAGCGCGUGUCAUCAGCAUGCGUUGAUUACGUCCCUGCCCUUUGUACACACCGCCCGUCGCUACUACCGAUUGAAUGGCUCAGUGAGGCCUUCGGACUGGCUCGAGGAGGUUGGCAACGACCACCUCGAGCCGGAAAGUUCGUCAAACUCGGUCAUUUAGAGGAAGUAAAAGUCGUAACAAGGUUUCCGUAGGUGAACCUGCGGAAGGAUCAUUACACAGUAUUAUCGGGGGUAAGAUCUCUUGCCCUGUCUGAUUCUACCCAUGUUUUUUGCGUACCUCUGUUUCCUCGGCAGACUUGUCUGUCAGUAGGACUUUAUCAACCCAUUGUAAUAGCAGUCAGCGUCAGAAAAACGUAAUAAUUACAACUUUCAACAACGGAUCUCUUGGUUCUGGCAUCGAUGAAGAACGCAGCGAAAUGCGAUAAGUAGUGUGAAUUGCAGAAUUCAGUGAAUCAUCGAAUCUUUGAACGCACAUUGCGCCCCUUGGUAUUCCAUGGGGCAUGCCUGUUCGAGCGUCAUUUGUACCUUCAAGCUUUGCUUGGUGUUGGGUGCUUGUCUGCUACUUUGGUAGACUCGCCUUAAAUGCAUUGACAGCCGACAGUCUGGUGUUAGAGCGCAGCACAAUUUGCACUUUGGACCAAGACGAUCGGCAUCCAGUAAGUCGACCAUCUCACGUUUGACCUCGGAUCAGGUAGGGAUACCCGCUGAACUUAAGCAUAUCAAUAAGCGGAGGA
rnacentral:rRNA from 1 species